rnacentral:rRNA from 1 species
UACGUAGGGGGCAAGCGUUGUCCGGAAUUAUUGGGCGUAAAGGGCUCGUAGGCGGUCCAUCACGUCGGGAGUGAAAAGCUGGGGCUUAACCCCAGUCCUGCUUCCGAUACGGGUGGACUAGAGGUAGGCAGGGGAGAACGGAAUUCCUGGUGUAGCGGUGAAAUGCGUAGAUAUUGGGAGGAACACCAGUGGCGAAGGCGGCUACCUGGACCGGUUCUGACGCUGAGGCGCGAAAGCGUGGGUAGCAAACAGG